rfam:TPA: Bos taurus chromosome X, whole genome shotgun sequence.
UCAAAGGCUCUCUUCAGAGCCACUCACUUGGCGGGAAAAGACCUGU